rnacentral:rRNA from 1 species
GAUGAACGCUGGCGGCGUGCCUAAUACAUGCAAGUCGAUCGAACGGACGAGAAGCUUGCUUUUCUGAUGUUAGCGGCGGACGGGUGAGUAACACGUGGAUAACCUACCUAUAAGACUGGGAUAACUUCGGGAAACCGGGGCUAAUACCGGAUAAUAUUUUGAACCGCAUGGUUCAAAAGUGAAAGACGGUCUUGCUGUCACUUAUAGAUGGAUCCGCGCCGCAUUAGCUAGUUGGUAAGGUAACGGCUUACCAAGGCAACGAUGCAUAGCCGACCUGAGAGGGUGAUCGGCCACACUGGAACUGAGACACGGUCCAGACUCCUACGGGAGGCAGCAGUAGGGAAUCUUCCGCAAUGGGCGAAAGCCUGACGGAGCAACGCCGCGUGAGUGAUGAAGGUCUUCGGAUCGUAAAACUCUGUUAUUAGGGAAGAACAUAUGUGUAAGUAACUGUGCACAUCUUGACGGUACCUAAUCAGAAAGCCACGGCUAACUACGUG